CGGUUAUAAAAUUGAUAAAAUAAUGUAUAAAGAUUUAUAAAUAAGUUUUUACAGCUUAUAAAUCAAUUUAAAACAACGCAUAAAUGAUAAUAAAGGUUUUAAAAUAUUUAAUAACUUUUAGUGAUAAAACCCCUCAACUAUUUUUGAAUUGGAUAAAAACUCCAACAAAGUUUUUAACAUUAUAAACCCUUAACUUAAAAACCGUUAACAUAUGUCACCCCUCCGUCACGGUAUUUUAGACGGAGGGUAACAGACGUUAAUGGAAUUAACGUUGACGGAUUAUUUCGUAAGAUUUUUAGUUGAGAGUUUAUUUUACGAUUCAUAUUUAGUUGAAGGGACUAAUUACUAAAAUCCCUUCAAAAUACUCAGAAUGUUCCUUGAACUAAUUGGUAGUUGAAUGCUUAUUGCUAAUAUACUUUUCUAGAAGAACAUUCUACAGUGUAAUCUCAGUGAUUUGAUUUAACUACAUGAUGUGUUAGCUGGCGUCAUGGGAACCAGCCUAAAUACAUACCCCUAAACAAAUGAUAAUUCAAAAUACUCAGAAUGUUUCCUUUAAACUCUUGUGCUUGCCUUUUCAAAUAUUGGUGUAACAUUGUGAUCAAAUGUUAAUUGUUACAACACGUCAAGAAAAUUGAUAAGUUCUAUUUAAAGAAUGAUACACAAAUCAGUAAGACCAUCUUUAUCGCUGAGUUCUUAAUGGAUUUUUAAGUCUAAUAAGGCAUUUAAUUAAAUCAAAACAAAAAGAAAAUUAGAUAACCAUCCUUAAUAGAGAUUUUGGCAACCAAUCAUAAAGGAAGUUCUUAAUACACGUGUCACUGUCAGCAAACUUGUGAAUUAUGGAUUUUUUUUUUCUUUUUUCUUUCUUUAUUUCUUUCUCCUCUUCUCUCGCGUUCUCAGUCGUUCCGAUGACUGCUUUUGUGAAGAGAAGUGUCUCCUCCGUGCAAUCGGCUGCUUCUCACCGUGAAGUCAGCCUCCGGCAAGACUUACAGCCAGUUAGCGGCCGAGACAGGACUCAAACGCCGCACUUCCUGGGAAUCGGCUGAGAGUCUGAAAGCGAUUGCUACUUCCUUGGAGAAGGGUGUCGUGUCUAUUAAUCAACCAAUUGGUCGUAGAGAUGGACUUGUACUUAACGACCCACUGAUGAUGUUGUCCGAACACGAGGUAUUUCUAUUCUCUUUUAAUAUGUAACGGAAAGAGUAAGGGUUUGGUCUUUUGUAGGUAUUCUCCUGCUUGCGGUGAUGCUGGACCAUCUAAAGUUGAAGCCUUUGGACAAUGCAGUUGUCCAUAGUCUCAUUGGUUUCUUUACCGCAAAGCUGGCAGAGUGUAGUCUGUGCGGGGUGCACUUACUGGUUGCUAGGCUCUGCUUAAGAGGAAAACGU